rnacentral:lncRNA from 1 species
ACAAGCUGCUCCACUUCCCUGACCUGGCCAUGUUCCCCAGACUCAUCUACCUGAAUGUGUCUAACAACCUCAUCCAGCUCCCUACAGGGCUGCCCCAGGACAGCGAGGACCUCCAUGCACCGUCGGAAGGCUGGUCAGCCUCUCUACUGUCCAACCCCAGUCGGAAUGCCAGCAUCCACCCCCUCUCCCAGCUCCUAAACCUGGACCUGAGUUACAAUGAGAUUGAAUUGGUCCCUGCUGGCUUUCUUGAGCAUCUGACCUCCCUGCGCUUCCUCAACCUCAGCAGAAACUGUCUUCGAUCCUUUGAGGCUCGGCGAGCGGGCUCCCUGCCCUGCCUGGUACUUCUGGACUUGAGCCACAAUGUGCUGGAAGCGUUAGAACUGGGUACCAAAGUCCUGGGGUCCCUGAAGACAUUGCUUCUGCAGGACAACACCUUGCGAGAACUUCCACCCUACACCUUUGCUGGCCUGGCCAGCCUGCAGAGGCUCAACCUACAGGGAAACCAGGUCAGCCCCUGUGGGGGACAAGCAGAGCCAGGUCCCCCAGGCUGUGUGGACUUCUCUGGGAUCCCCACCCUCCAUUUUCUUAACAUGGCGGGG